GGGAAGGUGGCUCAGUGGUAGAGCGCUUGCCUUGCAUGCAUGAGGCCGUGGGUUCGAUUCCCUAGUACCA
rnacentral:tRNA from 1 species